rnacentral:lncRNA from 1 species
UCCUUAAUUUUACUAAACAAAUUAUAUUAACCCUAGAUUUAAUUUAUGCAAAAUGUCAUCUCUUAUUUAUAAACGUUAACCCGUGACGCAAUAUUAACCCUAGAUUUAACCUAAUUUUUUCGUGUGACUUUACUAUAUUAACCCUAUAUUUAAUUUAUGCAAAAUGUCAUCUCUUAUUUCUAAAUGUUAACCGGUGAUGCAAUAUUAACCCUAGAUUUAAC